rnacentral:lncRNA from 1 species
AAUUUUCUAGUUUACUUGCAGAGGUGGAUAACCUAUUCAUAAGAUAUUUUCUUAUCCACUCACACAUUGUGAGUAUAGGUUUGUCCCUAGCAGCUAGAAUGGUAGCAUUAAAAGACUCUGAGAUAUUAUUCAUCAAUGUAUCACAUUUAGGGUAAAAAGAAAAGGCAUGCUUACACCAGCUUUUGGUAGGAACAACCAUCAACCAAGUCCAAGCAUUGGGAUCUGCAUUCUUC